AUUGAACGCUGGCGGCAUGCCUUACACAUGCAAGUCGAACGGCAGCACGGGAGCAAUCCUGGUGGCGAGUGGCGAACGGGUGAGUAAAGUAUCGGAACGUGCCCAGUCGUGGGGGAUAACGUAGCGAAAGUUACGCUAAUACCGCAUACGAUCUAUGGAUGAAAGCGGGGGAUCGCAAGACCUCGCGCGAUUGGAGCGGCCGAUAUCAGAUUAGGUAGUUGGUGGGGUAAAGGCUCACCUAGCCGACGAACUGUAGCUGGUCUGAGAGGACGACCAGCCACACUGGGACUGAGACACGGCCCAGACUCCUACGGGAGGCAGCAGUGGGGAAUUUUGGACAAUGGGCGAAAGCCUGAUCCAGCCAUGCCGCGUGCAGGAUGAAGGCCUUCGGGUUGUAAACUGCUUUUGUACGGAACGAAAAGGUUUGGCCUAAUAAGCUGAGCUCAUGACGGUACCGUAAGAAUAAGCACCGGCUAACUACGUGCCAGCAGCCGCCGUAA
rnacentral:rRNA from 1 species